GCCCCCAGGCUGCAGGUUCCCCAGGACAAAGAAUUUCUCAGAAUGUACCUCUGUCGUUAAGCAAAUCGUGGCUGUAGUUCUAUUAUCUGUAUCAUUCUGGGUUGAUUUUAAUUGAUUUUUCUUCAUCAUUAUAGGCCUGUUUUUCUAUUUCUUUAUAUGCUUGGUAAUUUUUGACUGGGUGCCAGCAAUAGUGAACUUUACAUUUUUAGGUGGUACAUAUUCUUGUAUUGUUGUAUGUAUACUUGGGCUUUGUUCUACGAUAUGGUUAAUUUACUUGAAAACAGGUGGAUUCUAUCAAGGCUUACUUUUAAGCUUAGUUAUGCAGGACAACAAACUCUAGGACUGAUGUUUUUUCCUUAGUAUGUAACACACUCCUGAGUACUCUACCUGGCGUCCCGUGUAUUACGAGGUUUUCAUUCUAGCCAACAGGAUCACCAACUAUUUCUGGAUCUCUGUGAGCUCUCAAGAUUGUUCCACCUAUUCCUUUUGAGUGGUUCCUUUUCCAGCUUCGGACAGUUUUCUCACCAGGGUAUGCUGAUCACUGCCUAGCUAAAGAAUCUCUGUUAAGUAAGCCUCAAUAUAUUUACAGCAUUUUAAAAAAUUAUAAUGACAGAAAUACAACUUAGAUUAAGUAAAAACAGAAAUAUUUGUUAGCUCAUAACACUGAAAAACCUAGAGACAGAACUGACUUGAGACACAGUGGAUGCAGGAGCAAAAGAGGUUACCUCUCUUGUGCUCACUCUUGCUCUUUCUUCGUGUAUUUCUUGUCUCAGGUUCUCUUUGCUUGAUGCUGUGUGAUUUCUUACUGGAGAUGGCUUCGUCCAAGCAGAGGGAAAGGUAGCCUUAAGCAGUGGCAGCUGAUAUUAUCAUCCUUCUAGGUCUUUCCCUAGGUCCAUAUAUCAAAUCUCCAGGGAGACGUAUUGGCCUGUCUGGGCCACACGUCCACUACUGAGCCAAACCUUGUGCAUGGGAGGAGUGUUCUGAUCGGCAAGAACAGGCUUAGCCCUACUUAAAACAUGUAAAAUGAAUUCCUUACAAGAGAGAACAGCUUUGUUACUGGAAGAUGUUGAAAGAAGAAUGUUAGGAAGACAAAUAUCAAUGAUCAAUACAUUCGGUUUCCUCAUCUGUAAAGUGGGUCAAAAAAAUCUAAAAUGUGAUCAUGUACUUAUCAGGUGCCUGGCCUUUAAUAAGGGCACAUGAAUGUGACGUUAUUACUGAAAAUCUGAACAUGGAGCCUCAGUUGUCAGUGAAUUCAUCCACUUCUCUGUGUCACUCAUCCUUAGUAAAAAAGUUUCUUCUUUGUCCUUCUGUGCCAAGAGUUGCUUGAAUUUCUUCCUUUGGGCUUCAGUUUCUGGGUAACUGAGUUCCUGACUGCAAUUUCUCAAAUAUACCUGUUUUUGCCUUGCCUAAGCAGAGAUCUUGUGUAAGCAUCAAAUUAGCAGCAGGAAACAGAUGGUCUAUUCUGGUUGGGUAAUUUGAGUAGAGUUUAAUAAAGGGAUUAUUUAUAAAGGUGUUGGCAGGUUAUAGGGAAAUCACAAGGGGUAGUGCAGUACCUGGGUACUGUCAUUCCAUGGGCCUGAUGGGACCAAGGACAGAAAGGUGACUGGAGCUGGAGACAAAGGGCAUGAGACAGAGGGCACUGGAUAGGAGCUGGGAUAUUCAGCCAGCCCAGAGUGACCCCAAAGGGGUGGGGGGAGCCAGCGAAUAGACACCCUGGCCUCUUGACCUCACCACCCUCCUCUCUCUGAUCGCCAGUGCUCCCCAGGGUCUGAAUCCAGCAGGAAGCUGUAGGGCAAAGGAGCCUGUUGUUAGCUUGGCCUCCUCUUUGGGGCACAGAGAAAGGUGACAAAGGGAAUAGAGUGAACUAGAAGAACAAAUGGAAAACAUCUGGCAUAUCCUAGAUCUUGGACUAAGUUUGGAUGCUUUUCCCAGGUGAAACAACUUAUUCCUGGUCCUAUCCAUACAACCUGCAUCUGUUUAGGAUUUCCCUGGUCUUGGGGUAAGUAACCCUGAAUUUCUAUAAGCUGGAAAGGGGGAAAAGAUUGCUAGCCACCCCCGAACCCCAGUCUGGUAUUUAAGAAAAUGCUGGCUGCAAGUGCCUAGAAAUUUGCAACCUGAUUACACGUUUUGUUCUUUAGUUGUGUGGAUCCUAGAUCCUGUCCCUUGUGUGGAUCCUAGAUCCUGUCCCUUGUGUGGAUCCUAGAUCAAACCAUUCCUUCAAGGGGACGGCUAUACUGUUUGACUGGUGAGAAUUAGCACCAAGAAAAGAGAGCUGUUACUGCCUGUGGAACCCGGUGCGAGGAGGCAGCUGGGGCUGGCUUUCAAGACUCACCUUUCAGCAUCUUCUCCAGAUAUAAAAUUCACCUCAUUUUUCAAAGUGCUUAGGGAGGAAGCCAAGGAUGUAGGGCAGGGGGAGUGAAACUUAAUAGUAAUAAUAAAAGAGGGAGAUGAAGUAAAAAACAGGUCACUGGGAAAAUAGAAAGUGAAGACAAGGGGACAGGGGAAGUAAUAACAAAGUGAAAAGCGAGGAGCCCUAAAGAUAAAUUGUCAGCUGAGAGCCACCUGCAGUCCUGCCAUUAAAGAGGUCUUAGUGCAGCCUUUGCGGUGGCCAGGGAACCAGAGGUCAAGCAGAUGCCCAGUUGACAUAGAGGAAAACGCAGACCUGGCCCAGCUACCUGCUCUUUGGUUUGAACCCUUCAUUUUGCUUUUGGAAACACCCUGGAAGCCACUUAGCCAAGGCAAAUGAGGAGCAAAGGAAGCCAGCUGUCUGGCAGCCCUGCACGGGCAGGGGGCUUUGCCCAGCCAUUUGAGAUGGGUGGGUGACUUUAGGCUGCCCCUCAAGGGAUGAUCCCAGUGGCCGUUUGAGGAUUUUGAAUAUGUUACCAAAUAUCUCCAAAGAAAAAAAAUCACAACCCAAGUGCCCCCUGACUUAACUUUAUGUUUAUUUUCACAGCCUUUGUCUUUCAGAGAUCAGCACUUUAUUGCUGUGUUGCUAUUGUAAGGAUGGAAAAAAUAGAACCAUUUUAAUGUUGUGCUGUUUGCAUUUCCCGACAGUUAAGAAGCAGCCCAUUAUUAGCUGGCAACACUGUUGUGACAUUAGUGGUGACUUCGCUGCUUGGGAUUCAGCUCAUGAAAUAUCUUCCUCCCUGCUUCCGGGCUCACAUCUAGACCGGUGGCUAUCUCUCAGAGGGAAGGCGCCCUUUUUCUCAAUGAAGUUUUGAAAACAGCCAGGGAAGGAGUCUGAUUGGCUGGCUUCAGAUCACGUGAUCGCCCUUUGACCAACCACAAUGGCCAACGGAGUGCGCAGCACUGAUUGACUUAGCUUGGGAAAAUCACAGACAGGGGCUUCCCAAGAGACUGUCUGCUGUUAGCCACUGUCUGCUCCUAACAGCUACAAGAGAUGCUCUUCCUCCCACAGCUGCGGCAGGGCCUGCUUCUGCAGGGUCUCCGAUGGGAAAGAACUGAGCUGUUUAGGAUUGAACUGCCCACCUACUGUUAAGUAAUGUUCUGUCUCUAGCACAGCAUUUCCACUCAGGAAAAUGUGCUGUGCACUUGGCGGCAGCGUUUACUACGCAUCUGCUUUACAAGCCUGUACUGCAGCUCCAAGGCCCAGCUCCAAACUGCUAUUGUGAAUAGUGCUGUUAUGAACAUGGGCAUGCAAAUAUCUCUUCGAGGCCCUGCUUUCAACCCUUUUGGAUAUAUACUCAGAGCCUCCGUUCUCAGAUUCUAAGGGAAGAGGCCCAGGGGAGUUCUGACCAGGGCUUUGCUGCUUACUUUCUUUGAACAUCAGUGGUCCUUCGUUGCAAAGUGGGGUUUUGUUCCUGUUCUUUCUUCAGAAGGGCUGGUAUGAGGAUCCCUCAGCUGAGGACCAAGAAAAAGAGUUCUGUAGACUGUACCGUGCGAAUCAAGUGCGAGCAUAUGACAGACUGGACGUCAGGACGGAGCUGACAUCUCUGCUCCUUUGCUGACAGGAGAAACAGAAAGGGAGAAAUUGGACUUCUCUUAGUUCCCCAGGAUAGGCCCAAGUGCACUCUAAAUAGCCCACCGCUCACACUCCCUGGGAUCCCAGGAGGAAGGACCGAGGCCACACGGAUGACCUUGGAGAGCUGGAGAAACCUACAAAAGCAGAGAUGAGAAAACCUCCAGGCGCAGAACUGAGGUGGACACGCCGCGCUCCGGAGUUGUUUGUUUACGGCUGGCGACCAUCUGACUGGUGCUCAAGGACGCCGAACGCAACCCCUGGAGACCAGAGACCAGCGAGAUAGCAUAACUUCCUCUGGAAGAAGAGACCCUGCAAGGCACGAGGACAUCGCUAAAGAUGGCAAGGAAGCACGACAACACCACAGCUGAGGCCUUCCUCUCUGCCUUUCCUCCUUGAUUUUCCGGUCGUGCUCUCUGUCUGGAUAGGGAGUGGUAGGAGGGGGAAGGCUCUUGUCAAGAAGAGUGAGUGACAGCAGAGCUGAGGGGGCCUGGUUUCUUAGAGAUUUGGGGAGUGUGGGAGAGAUCCCCGAGACAUUUCUCUUCUCUCCCCUUCUCUUAUCUUCACAGAAUAGCAUCCAGGGUUGCAAAUUCCAGGGGCAUUGCCCUUGUUUCUAGAAACAUGCCUUCAGCUCUCCAGGAGAAAGUAGGACAGCAUGGGGCCUUGGCAAAGGCCUCAAGGUCCUGGUUGUUUUGAGGGACAGCUGUCCUUUGGCUGUUCUCUGUUCAGGCCAGCUCACUGCAGGGAAAAUCAGACAGAGCUUGGGCAGAGUGCAGGACUGAUGUUCCCUAGGCAAGAGUAACCGUUUCUCUAGAACCAUAAUCCAUGGGGACCUUCUAUGUGCCGCUGGGUCGGAGGAGACGCUUAUAUGGCUGAAGAGAAGGGACACUUCAUAGAUCGUCCCCUUGGUCAGAUCCUUUCUUCAUGGCAUUACCUGUGGCUCCAGGCAGACGGGCUGCCCAGAGCCGGACACACAGAGAGGGCUCAGACCCUCCGACUGCCAUGGGACUGCCGGGCCAUGUGCGACGUGAAAUAUAGCAGGACACGCGCAGGCAAGCUGUCUACUUAAUGAGCCUCUAAAUUAAAACCAUAUUCCACAUCGAGUGUGAUAAUUGCCUUGUCUUUAGGGUCUGUGUCUCGCUGACCUGGGCUGACGGAUUUGCGCCCACACAGUCGACUCUUAGGGCCAGGAAUGGAGAAGUGUAGAGGGGGUUAGUUUUAAGAAGCAACUUUUGGAUGUUUUUGCUUAUUUUUGCCUUGCAGGGUAGGUUUCAUGUUUGAAGAUGAGGUUUCUGACCCACAGGAGGGGCGGAGGUGCUCAGAGUGGUCUUCUGCGGAGUGGGGGUGGGUGUGCAUGGAUGUGUCCAUCUCCGGUUUGGUCCCUGCGUGGUGCGAGAGUCAGGCCACCCUAGGAGCGCCAGGAAGGCUCGCCAGGGGCUGGGCCAGCCCAGCGCGCUCAGAGGCCCAUACCCGCUCACCCACCCUCCUCCUGCACAGCACUCUCACUUGCAAGAAAGUCAAUAGGAAAUAAAGUUUAUCUUAAACAAGACAUCAUUGCAAAUGGUUCAACCGUAGAGUAAGUAACAAAGACAAUUUCUUUCCAAAUAUUUAGGGAUAUUAAACUAAAUAUUUAGUUUAAACGAGUAAUAAACUAAAUGCACUGCUCUCAGAUCAAAGGAGCACUUCUUACCUGAGUUACUUGUAAUUAGAUUUUUUUUUUAAAAUAAUGAUUGCUUAAGAAAAUAAUGUUUCCUUUGAAGCAGAUGCUGUGUUGACUGGUAGUCACAUUUCCAGAAUCUUAGACAUUUUAUUAUAAUAUCACUUUAGGUAAUUAGCUGCAUUGCUAUAAUUUCCAGCUACUGUGGCUUUGAGUUCCAUCUGGCUGCCAUGGAGAUACCGGCCUCACAGGAAACUUGCUGAACAGCCAAUAUGUUGAAAGCCUCGACAAGGCCACAGAAUCACAGUGUGUGGGAUACUCCUUGCUGCAAGUACAGCGACCAUAUAAUUUAUUGUCCAAAUGGGGACGCUUUUGAGACUAAAAAGAGGCACAAUUAAUAUUAAUAAUUACUCCAGAAAACAUGUAAUCUGGGGCCUCCUUAUCUGUAUGGCAAGCUUUUUCUUCAAAAACCUUUCACAAAAAGGAGACAUAGAUACAAAAAUAGGUACAGAUAUAAAUAGCAAUAUUAUUCAAGUCCUCAUGGAGUUUCUUAUAUUCUAGGUCAUUCCAAGGUCCUUUUUUAAAAAAAAAACAAAACAACAAUAACAAAACACUCUUUAGAAAAGAUAUGUUUCCUGAAAUGAUCCAAUCACUGCUAGUUUUACAUUUUCAUGUAGAGCAACCAAUGAAGAUUAGCUUUAAAAAGGAGACAUAGAAAUUUGACACAGAUUCAGCAAUUAUUCCUUAGGGUAUUCUGUCAAACUUCAGGAAAGCAGUUGUAUUGUCAUUUUGUAGGAUGAACGGAAACUCUACUGCUAUGAGAGUUUAUGAUUUCAAAAAGUGCUGUGUGUCGAACAACUGAAGAGUGAAGAUGCUCUGGACAACUUGAUAAAAGUUCAAAAAAAUUGGCCAUUGUGAUGAAAGAGACAAUGAA